rnacentral:rRNA from 1 species
UAAUUCCUACGGGGGGCAGCAGUGGGGGAUAUUGCACAAUGGGGGGAACCCUGAUGCAGCGACGCCGCGUGGGUGAAGAAGUAUUUCGGUAUGUAAAGCCCUAUCGGCAGGGAAGAAUUUAGACGGUACCUGACUAAGAAGCCCCGGCUAACUACGUGCCAGCAGCCGCGGUAAUACGUAGGGGGCAAGCGUUAUCCGGAUUUACUGGGUGGAAAGGGGGCGCAGACGGCAGCGCAAGCCAGGAGUGAAAGCCCGGGGCCCAACCCCGGGACUGCUCUUGGAACUGCGCGGCUGGAGUGCAGGAG